AAGACUAUCAGCAAACUCAGAUAGUCACUUGAAAGACAUCUUCAUCUGAGGCUCACCUAGCUGAGAUUCACCCAAGACCAGACACAUCAUUCAACAGGACACGAUCAUGAAGGCCAUUGUCUGCCUGCUCCUCCUGAUCCUGACCAUCACCAACACACAGGGCGGAUACCAGAAAUUCAAGAAUCAGCAUUACCAUUUCGGCAUGAGAACUGGAAAUUGUGAUCAUAACAUGGAUGCUGUCAACAGAAAAUACCAUGGCGAGUGCAAAUACAAAAACACUUUCAUCACUGAUGCCUCAGAAGUAGACCUCAAAAGCAUCUGUAAACAUGCGGGGCAACACUACACCGGAAAGUCCGGGGUCAAAAAUCUUUACCAAUCGACAAAAAAAUUUACUACAAUCACCUGCACAUACAGAGAAGGAUCAUUUCCAGACUGCCAAUAUAAGGCAAAGGAGGAGUUUAAAUUCAUUGUGCUUGGCUGUACUUCAAAUUUACCUGUGCACUAUGAACCAGUUUACUGAUAUCUCUGCAGUUAAAAUGCAAAGGGCUAUGCUAAAAUGAAUGCACCGAUCUAAAUUGGGCUUAUAACCAGUUGAAAUAAUAUGCUUCCCAACCUGCUGAUAUUCUGUAUGCAACAACAGCAAUAAAAUCACAGCUUUACACAGCAA